GGAGAAUGGGGGUAGAGACAUGUUACCUGGAGCAACCUGUGCCAAGCCAUGUGGUCCUGUCACACACCAGAGAGUUUGCCUUGCUGGUGGUGCUGUGGGCAGGCUGUGUCCCACCCUGCACUGGCUGCAGGCAAGUGCUGCAGAGGCUGCCCUCGCAUCUGCAGGGAAAUUUAAGAAGGAAAAGCAUUAAAUCAGAAAGGCUCUAUUAAACCAGAUUGUUACCAGAUAUACAGAAGAACCCACUGGUAAGUAGCACAAAAUGGCCAGGCUUAAUGGAAAUUUAAAAUUCAGUAACAAUUUAUUUAGAGUAGGCAAGAACAAAACUACUUACAUUAAACUUCUGUAGUGGCAUUAUUUUAAAAAAUACAAAAUGUUUAAAAAGAGCAGCAAGUAAUGAGGCAAAAGGCACAAACCAGGCUGAUACAGCCAUUGAAAAUGACAGCAGCAAGACAUAAAACGAUUUUGCUUAAAAACUAUGCUAAAACAAUUUUAUGUUUAAGCAAACAUAUUUACAGUUUUACAGGUGAGGUAUCAAGCUAUUUAAUGUUUAACCCGUUAAAUACUUUAGUGCAACAAGAGAACUAUUAAUGUUUCAGAAAGCCUAUCUAGAAAACAUUCCUAACUUUUCAUGGCACAAUGACUUUAGUACUCAACUGACUGGCCUCUUAGGUACUAACCACCAAGCUGACUGGCUUCCAAAAGGAGUAAAAUAAAGACUGUCAACUAAUGUAACAUUUUAAUCCUAAUUUGACCUGUAAAGGACUGGAAAUUUAACUGAAAAAAUCAUGAAGGGUUUUAUGGCAUGUCUAGGAACAGUCUUUACCAAUAUUGCUAGCAGCUUUUACUUACUAGUGUCAGGAUAUGGGGGUCAGUAACAGUUUAAAUUCCAUUUCAGAACAGGCACACAGGAAUGUAACCACAGCUAAGCAAACUGAGCAAAGUAACUUUCAAGCAAUGUUUUCAGCCCUGAUUUAUCUUUUUGAGACAGCUUUCUGCUGUUUCAUGCAAGACAAGAAUCAAGGUGUUCAUUUAUUUUAGAUUCCAAAACUUCAGUUUCGCAGACAGGACAACUGACAUUUUUAUCUUGCCUCACAGGAUUGCUAGAACUUGCAGAGGACUGUGUAAAUUCAGCUUUGGUUUUCAUAGUUGUAUUUAUACUUGAAGUGACACCAGUACCCCCUUUUUUAAUGAAAUACUUUUCAAAGGCAGUUUUGUCUUCCAUUUUUGGCCAUUGCUGUGGUGUAUUAACACAUUCUAAGCUUUUUUUCUCAGAUGCAACCUGAGCUGUUGUUGUCUGCUCCAGACAAAUUUGUUUGGGUGGCCGGCUGGGAGACGGCAGAGCCCUCUUGUUAUUUGCAGAGCCUUGGUUUGAUUUUAAUUCCCUAAUAUGAGCCAUUCUAGCAGGCAAUCCACUAUCAUUCUCGUAAUCUUCUGUGUUAGCAACGGAGAGUUUAGGAAACUCAUGCUUUAAAGUUAAGUUGAUCUUCUCACUGGCAUCAUCGGUAUGAAGUGGAAAGAUGCCACUAUGGGGUAAUUUUUCAAAUUUUAUCUCAUUUUUAGGGAUUGGUCUUGUCCUUACUGCUGAAUGAUGCUGUGAACCAUGUGCUUCACUGUUUCCAAUGCUGCUGCUGGCAUUUGUGUCUUUUUCUGAAAGUACAUUGUCUCCUCCUCCAAGCCGGUAACCCAUUCCACUAAAAGGCAUCAGAUCUUGAGUACCAUGCAUUUGUGUCUUGCCUGCAAAAAGAUUAAAAAAAAAAAUUAGUAACUUUUCCGUUUAAAAAUCACGGGCUCAGUAUUUGACACGCUUCAUACAAAACCUCUGCUACCUGAAAACAGUGCAUCAAACAAAACUUUUUACAGACAAUUCAGUUGAGAAGGAGCCUAGAAAUGCACAAAAAACCCAGGUCCUAUUCUUUCCUAGAUAACAGUAACAUCUAAACAAAGCUUAUGUAGUGGUUGGUCCAUAAAUGUUCCAAGAAAACGUUUGGGAAAAAUCAGUUUGGAAAAGGAAAAGAAAUAAUAAAAUACCUUUGUUCUUUGACUUGAAAUGUGGAAGUUUUGCUGUCUCAGUUUUAUGCUUUGAUUUCUUGGAGAACUUCUCUGGCUCUUUCACUUUUGUGAAUGUGCCCCCACA